UAAAAUAUCUCGCUAUGGAGGUCCGUGGGGGGCUUACCGGCCGUAAAAGCUUUCUCUCACGAGAAAAUUCUCAAGGUUGACCUCGGAUCAGGUAGGAAUACCCGCUGAACUUAAGCAUAUCAAUAAGCGGAGGAAAAGAAACCAACAGGGAUUGCCCCAGUAACGGCGAGUGAAGCGGCAACAGCUCAGAUUUGAAAUCUGGUCCCCAGGGCCCGAGUUGUAAUCUGUAGAGGAUGUUUCUGGCAAGGCGCCGUCCGAGUUCCCUGGAACGGGACGCCGGAGAGGGUGAGAGCCCCGUACAGGCGGACGCCGAGCCUCUGUGAAACUCCUUCGACGAGUCGAGUAGUUUGGGAAUGCUGCUCAAAGCGGGAGGUAAAUUUCUUCUAAAGCUAAAUAUAGGCCAGAGACCGAUAGCGCACAAGUAGAGUGAUCGAAAGAUGAAAAGCACUUUGAAAAGAGGGUUAAAAAGCACGUGAAAUUGUUGAAAGGGAAGCGCCUGUGACCAGACUCGCGCCCGGCGUAUCAUCCGGCGUUCUCGCCGGUGCACUACGCUGGGCUCGGGCCAGCAUCGGUUCUGGCGGGGGGAUAAAGGCGGCGGGGAUGUGGCUCCCCCGGGAGUG
rnacentral:rRNA from 1 species